UCUCUUUCGCAUGGAAUCUCAAUCAUUUUUCCUUCUGCUUCUUCUUCAUUUUCUCUCUCCUCCCUGUAAAACCACCUCUCUAUCUUCUGCGUCUUCUCUGGUUCGUGCCACAGAUAUACCCUUCCGCUCUGAACGCUCGCAUUGGACACUGCAGAAUCGUCGCUCCAGCUUAUGGAUAGCUCCCUUGCAGACAGAAUGUCAGAUUUCUUACCAGACGACCUGUCCAGCCUUAUGGAUAAGCUCAUAGGCAUUGGAAUUAGAAUUAGUAUUAGCUCUGGACCAGAUUUCCUUCUUUAUGUGGCUUCGCAGCUUUGAUUUCCAUGGGAUGUUGGAUCACUCUGUUUCAGUCAUGUUUCAUGUUAUGCAAAGAGGUUAAUGAUAUUGUUGGGACAUUAGCUCUUGGACAUUAUCAUGGUGUAGAUACUGUUGCUGCAAUUAUAAUUUUGGCACUGGUAACUUUCCUUCUUUUCUUGGGCUUUAAGAAAAUGAUGUCAGGAUUGCUGGAGUCAAAUGGAUUCGGAUCAUGUACGAUAUAUCGCUAAAGUAGAUAAUCAUCACCAUUUGUUUUAUCUAAUGAUUAAAAAAAAGAAGGAUGUAUAAAAAGACUUUUCAUUCACAAAACAUAUAAUCAUAUUUUAUAUUUUUAAUAAAAUUAUUUUUAUCACUAAUAUGAAUAAUUUAUAUUUAAUUUAUAUCAUCCAAAUUUAAUUUUAAA